rnacentral:tRNA from 1 species
AAAGAAUCAUUAUAAAAAGCUUCUAACUUUUAAGAAAAGCAUUAAUAUGUUUAU